GCGCCGGUGGUCCAAUGGUAGGACUCGGGCUUCCCAAGCCCGCGGUCCGGGUUCGAUUCCCGGUCGGCGCA
rfam:Haloquadratum walsbyi DSM 16790 complete genome